GACGAACGCUGGCGGCGUGCUUAACACAUGCAAGUCGAACGGAAAGGCCCUGCUUUUGUGGGGUGCUCGAGUGGCGAACGGGUGAGUAACACGUGAGUAACCUGCCCUUGACUUUGGGAUAACUUCAGGAAACUGGGGCUAAUACCGGAUAGGAGCUCCUGCUGCAUGGUGGGGGUUGGAAAGUUUCGGCGGUUGGGGAUGGACUCGCGGCUUAUCAGCUUGUUGGUGGGGUAGUGGCUUACCAAGGCUUUGACGGGUAGCCGGCCUGAGAGGGUGACCGGCCACAUUGGGACUGAGAUACGGACCAGUCUCCUACGGGAGGCAGCGGGGGGAAGUAUUGCACAGUGGGCGGGAGCCUGAUGCGGAGGCGCCGCGUGCGGAAUGACGGCCUUCGGGUUAUGAACCGCUUUCGCCUGUGACGAAGCGUGAGUGACGGUAAUGAGUAAAGAAGCACCGGCUAACUACGUG
rnacentral:rRNA from 1 species